UGGGGAAUUUUGGACAAUGGGCACAAGCCUGAUCCAGCCAUGCCGCGUGUCUGAAGAAGGCCUUCGGGUUGUAAAGGACUUUUGUCAGGGAAGAAAAGGCUGUUGCUAAUACCGACAGUUGAUGACGGUACCUGAAGAAUAAGCACCGGCUAACUACGUGCCAGCAGCCGCGGUAAUACGUAGGGUGCGAGCGUUAAUCGGAAUUACUGGGCGUAAAGCGAGCGCAGACGGUUACUUAAGCAGGAUGUGAAAUCCCCGGGCUCAACCUGGGAACUGCGUUCUGAACUGGGUGACUAGAGUGUGUCAGAGGGAGGUAGAAUUCCACGUGUAGCAGUGAAAUGCGUAGAGAUGUGGAGGAAUACCGAUGGCGAAGGCAGCCUCCUGGGAUAACACUGACGUUCAUGCUCGAAAGCGUGGGUAGCAAACAGGAUUAGAUACCCUGGUAGUCCACGCCCUAAACGAUGUCAAUUAGCUGUUGGGCAACUUGAUUGCUUAGUAGCGUAGCUAACGCGUGAAAUUGACCGCCUGGGGAGUACGGUCGCAAGAUUA
rnacentral:rRNA from 1 species